UCUAGCUGCAGUGACAAAAUCUUUAAAAACAACAACAACAAACAGCAAGUUACCUGAGCACUUUCCAAACACCAUUAUGCUGCAGAAAUGCUGGAACAACAACACACACAACGAGACGUCCUUUUGAAAGCAGAUCUGAAUGAAGCCUGGAAGCAGAUCGCGUUUGGAUUGGGUUUUUGUGCCCGGGCUGAGGGAAAAUGAAGCGGUGGAAAAACAGAACAGAAUCUGCCAGGGAACUCACAGUGCUUUCCUUGAAUAAGAAUCAAACGUUAAUCUACCAGUCGGGAGGACGCAUUAUUGCUUUUUUUCAGUUCACAUAGAAGGUGUUUGAGAUGAGAUUGGGCGAAUGGUAUGUUUUACCAUGCAUGAAAAUGGAAUACGUUGAAAGUUACGCACGCAUUCUAGUGGAGGAAACGUCUGAACCGCUGUGAAAUGCAGAAAUGAAAACUAUUACUUCCCCGGAUUGGCCAUUUGCAUUCCUCUUGCUUUUUUUUUUUUUUUUUUUGAGGCUAUUGAGCCAGUUUUGCUCUUUCAUUUCCCCCUUCUUCGGAAUGAAUGGAAUGUCCUUUUAUCAAAUAAAUCAACCCUGCGGAUUAAAUUCUCUCCGGGGACUCUUGCGGUACGUGCCCUGCUGGUUAUGAAUUCCUGGCAAAGACACAGGUGCUCUUGACCCAACACAAGACAAGCGGUAUUCAGACGCCCAAAUUACCGCCUGCCCAAACCAACAGGAUCUGCCCCCGCCAAGUCAUUUGCAUUUUUAAAAGAGACACAUUAAUCAACGCUUUGUGGACCUGCGCUGGCACAUUCAUCUUCCUCUCCUAAACAACAAAUAAUGCACAUCAGGAUGAAACUGCGCACAUAUGACACAUGUAUACAUAAAAACCAACUGAUUUGCAUCCCAUUAGCAUACUGAAAUGAUCCAUUUGACACAUUCAUUCAAUAGAAUUUGGUUGGGGGUGGUCCAUUAUGCUUUCAUCGUGGAGUUCAACAGAUGAUUUUGUGUACAGGCAUGCUUUGUGGCCUGUUAAGUGCUGAAUGUUGUUAGCUCAUUAUGAAAAAUGCCUCACAAGUUCACUUUAUACCCAGCAUUAGAAGUACACAUACUUUUUGAAGUACUGUUAUGAUUGCAUAUGUUUGUUAAACUUUAUCACUGAAGACUGAUGUGUUGCACUGGACUGUUUUUUUUCAUCUCAGGGCCAGGAAAGAUCAUUAGUUCUGUAAAAGCAAUUACUCUUAGA